rnacentral:rRNA from 1 species
CGGCGUGCUUAACACAUGCAAGUCGAACGGAGUUAGAGAGCUUGCUCUUAAACUAGUGGCGGACGGGUGAGUAACGCGUGGGUAACCUGCCUUUCACUGGGGGAUAACAGUUAGAAAUGACUGCUAAUACCGCAUAAGCGCACGGGAUCGCAUGAUCUAGUGUGAAAAAACUCCGGUGGUGAAAGAUGGACCCGCGUCUGAUUAGCUAGUUGGUGAGGUAACGGCCCACCAAGGCGACGAUCAGUAGCCGGCCUGAGAGGGUGAACGGCCACAUUGGGACUGAGACACGGCCCAAACUCCUACGGGAGGCAGCAGUGGGGAAUAUUGCACAAUGGGGGGAACCCUGAUGCAAGCGACGCCGCGUGAGUGAAGAAGUAUUUCGGUAUGUAAAGCUCUAUCAGCAGGGAAGAAAAUGACGGUACCUGACUAAGAAGCCCCGGCUAACUACGUGCCAGCCGCAGC